rnacentral:rRNA from 1 species
CACUUUUGACCUCGGAUCAGGUAGGGAUA